rnacentral:rRNA from 1 species
CAGCAGCCGCGGUAAUACGAAGGGUGCAAGCGUUAAUCGGAAUUACUGGGCGUAAAGCGUGCGUAGGCGGUGAGUUAAGUCUGCUGUGAAAUCCCCGGGCUCAACCUGGGAAUGGCAGUGGAUACUGGCUCGCUAGAGUGUGUCAGAGGAUGGUGGAAUUCCCGGUGUAGCGGUGAAUGCGUAGAGAUCGGGAGGAACAUCAGUGGCGAAGGCGGCCAUCUGGGACAACACUGACGCUGAGGCACGAAAGCGUGGGGAGCAAACAGGAUUAGAUACCCGCGUAGUCCCUGUCUCUUAUACA